rnacentral:lncRNA from 10 species
GUAGGUUUACCUUCUUUCCUGCUCUUGGUUGAGAUUUGCGGACCUUUGUAUCCACUGUGGUCUCCUUGGAACAAGCAACUGGAAAUUCUUCACACCAGCUAUGGCUGGUAGGAAUUUCGGGCCACAACUCAGGCUUCCAGACUCUGGACGGUAUUCCCAGAGUCAGCUCCCUUCUGAAUUGGGAGAAAGAGAGAAAGGAAAAUACAAGAAGACCCAACCAUGUGGAUUAACACCCUAUAGCAUGAUCCAGGCCCACAGCCAGCUCUGUGUUUCCAGAGUCAUAAUGGUGAAGAGGAUGGUGACAUCCAAGGACAACCACAGGGCCUCUCUCCUGACACUGGUGAGAACCAGAUUCCUUUCCCUGGUUCUGUAGCUCCCAGCAGAGUUUUGGAAGCUGAUUAAAGAGAAUGUUGGAAAUAACAGGCAAUUAGAAACCUUAUUAAAAAAAGGAAAAACAC